UACGAAGAGGGCUAGCGUUGUUCGGAAUUACUGGGCGUAAAGCGUACGUAGGCGGAUUUGUAAGUAGGUGGUGAAAUCCCCAGGCUCAACCUGGGAACUGCCUUCUAGACUGCAAGUCUCGAGAUCAGGAGAGGCGAGUGGAAUGCCGAGUGUAGAGGUGAAAUUCGUAGAUAUUCGUAGGAACACCAGUGGCGAAGGCGACUCGCAGGUCUGAUACUGACGGUGAAGUACGAAAGCGGGGGGAGCAAACAGG
rnacentral:rRNA from 1 species